GAUGAACGCUGGCGGCGUGCCUAAUACAUGCAAGUCGAGCGAACGGACGAGAAGCUUGCCUCUCUUAUGUUAGCGGCGGACGGGUGAGUAACACGUGGAUAACCUACCUAUAAGACUGGGAUAACUUCGGGAAACCGGAGCUAAUACCGGCUAAUAUUUUGGACCGCAUGGUUCAAAAGUGAAAGACGGUCUUGCUGUCACUUAUAGAUGAAUCCGCGCUGCAUUAGCUAGUUGGUAGGGUAACGGCUUACCAAGGCAACGAUGCAUAGCCGACCUGGACGAGGGAUCGGCAACCCGGAAACUGAGAAACGUCCCAGAUCCUUACGGAAGGCAGCGGGGGGGAAUUUGCCGAAAGGGGGGAAAGCCUAACGGAGCAACGCGGGGGUAGUGAGGAAGGUCUUCGGAUCGUAAAACCCUGUUAUGAGGAAAGAACAUAUGUGUAAGUAACUGUGCACAUCUGGACGGUACCUAAGCAGAAGGCCCCGGCGAACUACGU
rnacentral:rRNA from 1 species